AACGAACGCUGGCGGCAUGCCUAACACAUGCAAGUCGAACGAGACCUUCGGGUCUAGUGGCGCACGGGUGCGUAACGCGUGGGAAUCUGCCCUUGGGUUCGGGAUAACAGUUGGAAACGACUGCUAAUACCGGAUGAUGUCUUCGGACCAAAGAUUUAUCGCCCAGGGAUGAGCCCGCGUCGGAUUAGCUAGUUGAUGAGGUAAAGGCUCACCAAGGCGACGAUCCGUAGCUGGUCUGAGAGGAUGAUCAGCCACACUGGGACUGAGACACGGCCCAGACUCCUACGGGAGGUAGCAGUGGGGAAUAUUGGACAAUGGGCGAAAGCCUGAUCCAGCAAUGCCGCGUGAGUGGUGAAGGCCUUAGGGUUGUAAAGCUCUUUUACCCGGGAUGAUAAUGACAGUAUCGGGAGAAUAAGCCCCGGCUAACUCCGUGCCAGCAGCCGCGGUAAUAC
rnacentral:rRNA from 1 species